AUUGAACGCUGGCGGCAUGCUUUACACAUGCAAGUCGAACGGUAACAGGCCGCAAGGUGCUGACGAGUGGCGAACGGGUGAGUAAUGCAUCGGAACGUGCCCAGUCGUGGGGGAUAACUACUCGAAAGAGUAGCUAAUACCGCAUACGAUCUAUGGAUGAAAGCGGGGGACCGUAAGGCCUCGCGCGAUUGGAGCGGCCGAUGUCAGAUUAGGUAGUUGGUGGGGUAAAGGCUCACCAAGCCAACGAUCUGUAGCUGGUCUGAGAGGACGACCAGCCACACUGGGACUGAGACACGGCCCAGACUCCUACGGGAGGCAGCAGUUGGGAAUUUUGGACAAUGGGCGCAAGCCUGAUCCAGCAAUGCCGCGUGCAGGAAGAAGGCCUUCGGGUUGUAAACUGCUUUUGUACGGAACGAAACGGCUCUGGUUAAUACCCGGGGCUAAUGACGGUACCGUAAGAAUAAGCACCGGCUAACUACGUG
rnacentral:rRNA from 1 species